rnacentral:rRNA from 1 species
UGAGGAACAUGACCUUCGGCGGGGGAUAGCCGGCCCAACGGCCGGGUAAUACCGCGUACGACCACAUGGGGACAUCCCUGAGUGGUGAAAGCAGCAAUGCGCCGAUGGAGUGCCUCGCGGCCUAUCAGCUAGUUGGUGAGGUAACGGCUCACCAAGGCGACGACGGGUAGCUGGUCUGAGAGGAUGGCCAGCCACAUUGGGACUGAGACACCGGCCCAGACCUNUACGGGGA